UGGGGAAUCAUGGUCAAUGGGCGAAAGCCUGAACCUGCGACGCCGCGUGAGUGAUGAAGGCCUUCGGGUUGUAAAGCGCUUUUUGAGAGGAUGAGGAAGGACAGUACUCUUAGAAUAAGCCUCGGCUAACUACGUGCCAGCAGCCGCGGUAAAACGUAGGAGGCGAGCGUUAUUCGGAAUUACUGGGUGUAAAGGGUAUGUAGGCGGCCCUUCAAGUCGCGUGUCAAAGUCCAGUGCUCAACGCUGGGUGUGCGCGCGAUACUGACGGGCUUGAGGGCUGGAGAGGUGAGCGGAAUUCCCGGUGUAGUGGUAAAAUACGUAGAGAUCGGGAGGAACACCAGCGGCGCAGGCGGCUCACUAGACAGUUUCUGACGCUAAGAUACGAAAGCGUGGGGAGCAAACA
rnacentral:rRNA from 1 species